UCGGUCUGCUUAGUUAAGAUUUAAAGAUGUCUGCAGUUAGGUGGUUGUUCAGCAUAUGCUCAUGUUUAUUAAACUGUGAGAAUUUUUAUCUUUCAUUGCACCUUCUCAUGAACAGCUCUUCGGAGGUACCUCAAGAAAGGAAUUUUUUCCUUUUUCCCCCAUUACUUAAUUAUAUUAGAAGAUUUUUGAGAGACGACCAUCCUUUCAAACUCGAAUUGCAGCAAGUAAAUUUGGUUACCUGUCAAAAUUUGAAGUGGCCGUCCGAAAUAAUGUUGGAAAUAUUGCAUAUUUUUCUUUUAGUAUCCAUUGUAAGAGUGCUGAAACUGAAUGUAUCUUUUUCAAAACUGCAAAUGGUUUUCAUUUUGGUUUUUGAGAAUUGGAAUCGCACUUUACAUUAAUAAUCAAUUAUAUUUAUUUUUAUUCUUGAGUAAUGGAUUAAAUUUAUUUAGUUUGAAGAAAAAAUUUGACAAAAAAUUAAAUGAAAAAAUUGGGUAAUAAAGGUAUAUUCGUAAUUUUAUUAAUAAUAUAGGGAUAAAUUGGACAAUGAACAAUUAUUUUUUAAUAUGCUAUAAGGGUAUAAUAGUAAUUAUACUUUAAAAUUAUAAUUUCUGUUAGAAGAAACGGUUUUUGUUAACCAAUGGGGGUCUGAGUGUCUUUUUUAAAAUAUUAAGAAAUUUUGUGUCCCUUAUUCAAACGUUGGGGAUCUCUGUGUCUUUUUCCCAAGCCAAAAUCCCUGAUUGUAAUAAAUAUUUAGCAACAAUCAAAAUCAAAAUUAAUUCUAUUGUCGUUUUCACUUUUCACCGUCCAUGGCUCUAUUAACGUAAUACCUAGUAUGAACACUGUUUAAGAGGCGUAUGGCCGUUAAUUAACGCUUUUGUAAUUAUCCAUAAUCUUUAAUAAUUUAGAUCAAAACUUUUGGAAAAUUAUUAAUUAUUAAUUCCAUUUUUUUUCUUACUUUUCUUCCUUAAAAUAAAUAAAUAGUAAGUGGUUGGCGAAGUGGAUUAUGUGGAAGGAAGAGAAGUGGCAUGCGAUGAGGUGAUGACGUGGCAGUUACUUUUCCUUAUUUUCUUCAGUGUUAUUAGGCCGGGUUAGGUGACUCAACUUUUUCUUAUUUAGUUCCCCUUGCUUUUAAACUCUCGUCUUCAGUUCAUUUCAUUUCAUUUUAUUUUCUCUCUCGCCGAAUCAAUCCAUCUCAUUGUCUCCUCUCUUCAGCGCUCACUCUUCAGGUAAUCCUUUUUUUUUUCCCCCAAUUUCUUGUAUUUUCUAUUUAAAUUUUUAAAAUUGAUCGUAAAUAGAGCUUGAAAAAUUUAUACGGCCAAACAUAAUGUGAUCGUUUUGGGUUUUGCUUAUUCGGGCAACCAUUAGGGCAAAACAGAAACUUCCAUUUUAAUUGAGUGCUUAUUGUCUAAGGUGAGAAACAAGCAGAAGAUCUUUUUUGAUUUUCUGUACCUAAAUUCUCUGAAUAAACAGUGGGGCCCACCAGUAGGGACGGUUUCUGUUUUCAUAGUCUCUCAUCGAGUCGCGUGCUUUGCCAGAAAUUUUGACCUUUGAAGAUCUGUGAUGUUGACGCGUGUCCUUGAUUAUUCGCGGUUUUGACGUACUAACAUUUGGAAAUUUUGCAGACCAGUCCAAUCCGGUCGAACCGAACCGGGUUCACCCUUGUGCAGCGGAGUGAACUGUGAGGGAGGAAAAGACGUACGUUGUCAGACGAUGAUAAUCAACCUACCGCGUCUGGUUGCCGGAUCUGCUCGCGAUCGACGUUUGGCUGCUGCUUGUGCUGUUGGAACUGCUGGAAUUGCUCGCGUUUAGCUGCUGCUUGUGCUCGCUUUUGGCUGCUGAUCCUGCCUGUUGAAUCUUGCGUUUGGCUGCUGCUUGUGCUCGCGUUUGGCUGCUGCUUGUGCUCGCGUUUGGCUGCUACUUGUGCUCGCUUUUGGCUGCUGCUUGUGCUCGCGUUUGGUUGCUGAUCCUGCCUGUUGAAUCUCGCAUUUGGCUGCUGCUUGUGCUCGCGUUUGGUUGCUGCUCUUGCUUGUGGAAUCUCUCGUUUGGCUGCUGGAAUUGCUUGCGUUUCCCACUAAUGAUGUCGGUUUGCUUAGUUAAGAUUUAAAGAUGUCUGCAGUUAGGUGGUUGUUCAGCAUAUGCUCAUGUUUAUUAAACUGUGAGAAUUUUUAUCUUUCAUUGCACCUUCUCAUGAACAGCUCUUCGGAGGUACCUCAAGAAAGGAAUUUUUUCCUUUUUCCCCCAUUACUUAAUUAUAUUAGAAGAUUUUUGAGAGACGACCAUCCUUUCAAACUCGAAUUGCAGCAAGUAAAUUUGGUUACCUGUCAAAAUUUGAAGUGGCCGUCCGAAAUAAUGUUGGAAAUAUUGCAUAUUUUUCUUUUAGUAUCCAUUGUAAGAGUGCUGAAACUGAAUGUAUCUUUUUCAAAACUGCAAAUGGUUUUCAUUUUGGUUUUUGAGAAUUGGAAUCGCACUUUAC
rnacentral:lncRNA from 1 species